UCCAUUUUUCUUUGUUGACAGUUUCUAUCACCCACCCUCCCCGAAUGAUUUAGAACUUAGAUCCUCUCCCUUGCAAGUAAUCACCCCUAUCUCAUGAUGUCAAUAGGGUGUGGGGUGGUUUUUUGUAGGGGAGGGGAUCUAGACGUCUUGAACUCCGCCGUCUUGUGAGCCACUCUGACUGCAGUGGAUUGGUUCAUGUUCUGGAUAACGCAACGUCUUCACUGGAUUGGGUAGCACUUUCCAUUGUUGAAAACAUUAAUGUUGACGGUUAAUGUCUUGUAUUAUGAGGACUAGGUCAUGGGCUGCCUCUGGAAGGUCAUGGAAAAGUUUUAGGGUUUACAUGCGGUAAUUUGAGAAAUCUGUAUAUGUUUAUUAUGGUUACUAGAAAUUCUUUGUAAACAGAAAGACGUGAGAAAGAGAACAUGUAACCUUUUUUUCAUUGUUAGUGAAAACUACUCUCAUCUCUCCUAUGGAUCUAAACACCUAGUUGAAUCACGUAAAUACUUGUGUUAUAGUUGUGUGUGA